CUCCUUUGCAAAGUGUGCCAACACCACCAAGUGUACACCACCAUGUGCAAGUGUGUUAGCAUUUUCAUAAACAUUUUCCCAAAGGAGUUAGCCUCUCAACUUGCCACGCCACUCGAUCCCAACACGUAUGCAAAGUUAGAUCGCUCAAGUGGCACUAGAUGACCGAUAUGCAAACAAGUUUGCCCCUCUUGAUAGUACGACCAUCUAUCCUAAAUCCGGUCAUAAACUUCUCUACACACCUAUGACUGGUGAAAUGGAAAAGCCCUAGGUUAUACCUUUGCCUUGCGCUUUCCAUUCCAUCUCCUACAAUGUUGAUGCAACACAUGCACCAACCAAUCACCAAAUGAUAUGAUCCACUUCAUAUCAUCAUGUGACCGUAUUGUUUCAUCGAUCUUGACCUCACUUGCUCUUCACUGUUGCCUCGGUCCAUCGGCGCCAAGUCUUGCUCAAGCUUCACCGUCACACACGGUCCCUCGCUUCAAAGCCUCCAACUUGCCCUUCACUCUUGCAACCGGUUCAUCAAGCCAAGCCUCAUCCUGAUCUUCUCCACCUUGGUCACAUGACUCCAUGUCAUGUCUCAUAUGCAAUGAGCUCCUCCAUCAUCACAUAAUCACCUGUGGACUAAUCUCCUGUGUAUCUCACAUAAACACUAUUAGUCCACCUAAGUUGUCACUCAAUUACUAAAACCAAACAAGGACCUUUCAAUCUCUCCCUUUUUGGUAAUUGAUGACAACUGUGCAAAGAUAUGGAAAUUAAGCUUUUUCAAGCUAGCACUUCACACAAGUGUAAAUUGCUAACUUGAUUUGGAUUUUAUGCUACUUAUCCAACAUUUAAGCUCUAUGUCAAGAUUUGGAUAAGCACCACAUAACCCUACUAAGUGCUAAGGUGUAUAGAAUAAACCUUUGUAGCUUGAUACCAAAUUCGAUAUCAUUUGAAGCAUUCAAUGUACACCAUCCUUAUCACCAUGUGUAGCUAGACAACAAAAACACUAGAAACCCCGUGAGAUCAACAUUAAAAGUAAGGGUCUAGUCUUUACUUGAAGAACACAAGUCUAGCUACCAACCUAUGCAUGCUAGUUAUCAUAUCAUCAAUCAAGUUCUAUAACUAGCAUACACCACACAAGCAUGCAUAUUGAAUUUAAAAACUUAUGCAAUGCAAGCAAGCACAUGAAUAUGCACAAAUCAAAUGCAAUCAAUCAAUGUUCAUGAGCUUGCUCCCCCUACUUGUGUGCUUUUCUUUUGUCCAAGAAUUUUGAUCCAUCAUCUUUUCUUUUAAUGUUGCUCCCUUGUCCAUGUCCAUCUUUGAUCUUUCCCUCUUGAAACAUAUCUUUUGUUGUCCAACUUAUCCCAUGAUCUUAUCUUUGUUCCAACUUCUCCCCCUUUGUCAUCAAAUUCCAUAAAGGGUGUGUGAUACCAAUUAGAUCACUUGAUACCAAUCGAAAAAGUGUGAAUCUCAUUGUGAGAAAGGAUUGCAUUGGGAUAGAUGGUUGAGGUUUGAAUCUUGCAUUUUUUAUGGACAUCACCAUAUGUGUUGGAAUGACAUUACUUGAAUUGCUCUUGAGAUACCACAUAGGAUCUUUGACCUUGAUACCAUUUGGUGGGGCACUCCCCCUAUGUCAUAGCAUGGGUCAUUCACUUGUCAAUCUUGUUGGUGAGGGAACUUUUCUUCUCUUGAUGAUCACUUAAAGUUGAGGAUCACUUGUGGAACCACCUUCUUGUAUGAUAGAUACCAUAUGUAUAAAUGUGAUAUCAUUUGAAGUGUCUUGUCCGAUACCAUAUGGGAUUCUUCUACCAAUUAAGGUCUUCUAAUAUGGAACCACUUGUUUGCUAUCUUGAACAUCUGUUAUCAUCAUGAGUACCAUUCGUAGGAUAUCAAUUGAAGAAACAUUUUAAGUCUAGAUAUCCAUUUGCAUUGUUGUCUUGUUCUUGUACUCUAAUCAUCAUGAGCUUCUAAUUGUUGACUUGAACUAUGUUGAUUUGCCUAAGCUUCCAAGUCCGGUUUGAACCAAUGACAAGCUUUUUCACACCUCACAUUAAGGGUUAUCUUGCCAAUGUUGUACUUGUCACUUGUUAACAAUCCAAAAUCGAUCAAGUUCUUGGGUUCACUAGCUCAUGAACAAACUCAUACACAUACCACUAGAUCAACUAAUCAUUCAAGCAAUAGUGGUAGGUUAUGAAUUUAAAACUUUUCAUUUGUCAUGCAUGAUCCUAUUGAGCAUGUACUAUAUGCACUAACCGCAUACUAGUAAAGGAUGAAAUGAUCAUGCACAUUACAAUGAUACCUUUGCUCUGUUGGAGAAGAGGAUAGUCACAUAGAUUCCAAUUUAUUUCUCCAAUAGCAAUGUGAAGUCCAAUUAAUAAGCUUGGUGAAGACCAAUUAUAAAUGCCAAUUGAUAGAUCAAAUCUUCACCCAUAUGAAUGGAGAACCACUUAUUGAUGAAGUGCACUAUCUUGUUGUGGUUGGCUUGCUUCUUCUUUUGACCAUUUCUUGCAUGAGAGAAUUACUAAGAAUAUCACUUGAAAUAGCAUGACUAGCUCUCUUUUGGGUGUUGCUUGCUUUCUUGAUCAAUCCUUUUGAUUGCUUCAACUAAGCAUCUUAAAUGUCCUUUAUAUCACCACUUCCAUGUUAGCCUUCCAAGCACCACACUUGGUUUACCCACUCCUCGGGCGGCACGCCCCUCACAUAGGGAGAAGUGACCUCUCUCCAAAGAACUAAUUUUGAUACUCACUUGAAUUGCUUUGAUUGAUUGAUUCAAGUAACAUACUUAAUGUGAUGAGUAACCAUAAAUCCUUCUUUAAGUCCUUUUCUUCUACUUGUUUAAGUUCUUUUCUUUCUACUAAAUGAUCUCCAAUAGUCACUAGAACUUAAACUAUAUUUUCAUCUUAAGUUUGAUCUUGAUCUUCAAUUUGAGUACUAAAUGUGUACACCAAGUACAUUCCACAAUCAAAUGACCUUGUACUCAUUACUUGUCAUGCUUCUAGAUCAAUUCAAAACCAAACUUAGGUGCCUCAAACACUUAUGAUCAUGUUUCCAACUUGAGGACCUUUCAAUUGAAGUGACUCUAGAUCAAUCCAAUAAUUGUCACUUUUCUGGCAGAUUCUGUACCCUUUAAAGAAAUAUCCAUAUCUCACAAUGUACAGAUCCAAAUACCACGAAAUUUGGUGGAGAUGUGACUCACUAAGUCAUCUAGCGGCUGUAAAAAUUUGAGAUUCAUUUGAAUUCUAGAUUGCUACCAGAUUUCAAUUCUUCCACCAGUGUACAUGCUGAAAAUUGCUACAUUAUAGCUGAUAAGAUCCACUCCAAAACUAGAGUAUCCCUUAUCCAAUCUUCAUGAAAUUUCUACAGCAUCUUCUAUGAUAAGUGAACAGAAUUCAUACCAAAUUUCAAGCCAUUCCAAAUAGAUUUGAUCACUCAAACUCAGACUUGAUCACUGCUAGCUCAGUUUUUCAAUAUUGGACAGAUUUCAAGCAAUUGAGCUAUGCUUCUUUAAAUUGAAUCAAACUUGAAAUAGACUCGUUUGAAUACUUUCACAAGACAUCUAUCCAUUCAAUUCACUUACUAAAAGUCAUCUCAUGAACUUAUUCAACUCAAAUCAAUCCAAACUUGAUUACUAAGCAUUUUAUCCAUUCAAUCAUCUUAUAGCAAGCAACAUUGCAUAUAUAUCCAAUUCAAUCAACUCAUAUGCACCUAAAUGAAUGUGAUCAACAAAGAUAUACCUUGGUUAGCUCAUCAUCAUCUAGUUUGCAAGCUUCAACUCAUGUAAUUGCAAGCCAUCAAAUAAUCCAAUAAAUCACCACCACUUGAAUAUGGCACUUGUAUGUUGUAGCACAUUUGGACUUCACUAUCUUGUCAUGGCAUUGGGUUUGGAUGUGCACUAGGCUUCAAUACUUGACUCAAACAUAUGAUGAACAAUAUAGACUCAAUUGAAUCAAGUCUCCAAUGCCGAUGGUACCUACAAACAAUCAUCCACUUUUUGAUGGUACCCAAACUAGUUUGGGUCCUCUCAAGUUAGGAGCAACAUACUUAGGCAUAGCCUUAGUAUGAGUAGCGAGAUGUUUUACAAUAGCAACCAUAGAGGUACCAUCACCAUCCUUUCUAAGCAUAUUAUGGUUAUCAAUUGAAAUAGACUUAGAACUAUUACCUAGCGGACAUGAAUGAGCCAUGUGUCCCUUUUCCCGGCAUAAGUAGCAACUUCGCUUUGAUUGAGCCUUUUCUUCCUUGCUCAUGUGUUGCUUCUCAUUGCCUUGCCUCUUGAAAGUUGCUUGAGCCUUCUUCUCAAGCUUGGUAGGACACUUCGAGGCAAAGUGUCCAUCAUCCUUGCUCAUCGUCUUGGCAUCUUGGAUUUGCAUUGGAUGCCUUGCUCUUCCACCCCUUCUUGUUUUCUUCUUCUUCAUCAUCAAAUGUCACCUUGAUGGUUGAACUUGACUUGAGCUUGGGGCUUCUUUUCUUGCUCAACUUGUGGCUUAGGUUUUCUUGUUGCUUCACCAAUUGCUUUGUUGGGCACAUUGAGGUGAGAUAACCCCAAGUGCGGCACUUGAAGCACUUGACAUGCCUCUCUUCUUCCUUCAUCUUCUUGAGCUUCUCAAUGUUUGGGCAACCAUUUGCAAGGUGUCCCACUUCAUGGCACCGAUAGCACAUGGUGUGACAAAGCUUCUUUUGAAGUAGCUUCUUCAUCCUCUUUUCUUGCUUUCUUUCGCCCUUUGUCAUCUUCUUCUUGAAGCCAAGGCCACAUUUGUCACCAUAAUUUCUUUGAGUCUUCAAUAUAUGCUCAAAGGUGACUUUUGAGUAGUAGCACCUCUCUAACUUGUUGCUCAAAUUCUUCACUUCACUUUUGAGCUCAUUGUUCUCCUUCAAAAGGUUAGUCUCACAAGACAAAGAAGUAGAACAAGCAUUUGUAUGUGAAGAACAUGGUAUAGCUAGUAAAUCAUCACAAGAGGUGGAUACAUGCUUCUUGCCUACAUCACAAGGGUUAGUAACAAUAUGUGAUUGAUCAUUUGACCCAAAUGAUGAGCUCCCACUAGUUUUAGUUUCUUCAUUAGAAAGCCGCUUAGUGAGAAAAGCAUGAUCUUUUACUAAGUUAUCAUGAGCAACACAAAGUUCCUCAUGAGUCAAUUUUAGCUCCUCAUGUGAACAAGUAGUAACAUAAAGUAGAUGCUUUUGUUGUUCACAUGUGGUCUUUAGAAAUGAGUUUUUGUUUUUCAAUUUACUUGUUUUUGCCAUCUCAUUUCUUAAAGCUUUGGUGAGUCUACAUACAAGCUCAAAAUUUGGAUCAUCACAAUCAACAAUCACACCUCCAAUAGAUACCUUGCCGUCGCCAUGAGACAUGGAGGAAUGUGAUGAAGUGGAUGAGCUUGUAGAAGCAUCACUCUCAUAGCCAUCAUCUUCAUCCUCACUUGACCAUGAGGUAGAGCAAUCCUCCACAACCGCCAUGUUGUGGUCAUGCUCAACAUCCUCACAUGCAUCCACCUUCGGCACAUCAUCUUCUUUGGUGAUCGCCCCAUAUUUCUCAUUGAGAUAACUCCAAAUCUCAUGAGCAGACUUCAUAUCCAUGAUCUCACCAAAUAUGUUAUAUUUCAUGGAUGAAUAGAAGAUGUUAGUAGCUUGGUAGUCGAGAUGUAGACAUUUCUCUUGUGCUUGAGUUAGAUUCUCUUCAUCCAACACAAGAGAAAAGCCUACAUCUACCAUCCAUCACAUUUGAGGAGAAAUAAAGUUAAAAUUGCAUGUCAUCCAAUUUCUCCACGGUGCAAAGUGUGUGCCAUCAAAAAUGUGUGGACACUCAACAUCUAGCCCAUAAGCCGCCAUCCUCUCGGGUCGGUGAAGACCACAAAUGAGAGACCUAGCUCUGAUACCACUUGAACGGUCGAGAUGGCGGACUAGAGGGGGGUGAAUAGUCCUUUCUAAAACUUAUUCCGUCGGCUCACCGAAACAAAUGCGGAAUUAAAACUAUCGGUCUAGCCAAGACUACACCCCUCUAUCUAAGUUCUCUAGCACCUUGAAAAGAUCCUAAACAAGCAAGCAAGGUGCUACCUUAGCAAGAGCUCACCUAACCAAAUCUAGAAGCAAGGUCACACAAACCUAUGCAACUAGUACAUUGCAAACCGGGGGAGCUCCUACACAAACUAGUGAGGCAAAGCGCACAAAGCCUAAGCUCACUAGCAAGCUCAAUAACAAGGCAACUAAUGCCAAAUUAGAGAGCACAACUUACAAGCUACACAAACUAAGCAAUGUGACUAACAAGGUUACAUAAACUAAAUUAGUCACGCAAGGGAACUACUUCUAGCUACACAAGCAAGAAGGUAACUAGCAAGCUACACAAGCUAACUAGUUACAAGAGCAACUACUCAAGCACAAACAAGAGAAUGUAAAUACAAGCUUGUGUUAUGGACUUGAAAACCAACGGGAAGAACAAAGUUGACACGAUGAUUUUCUCCCGAGGUUCACUUGGUGUUACACGAACCUCGUCCCCACUAGGACACCGCAAGAACCUACCCACAAGUGAGGUAGCUCAAUGACACGCACGAUCCAAUAGAGUUGCUCUUCGCGAUCCCCACGGGGUGAGCACCGUACCUCUCAGAAUCUCUUCUCCGGAGCACCGCACAAUCUUCUUGCGUGCUUCGACGGAGUCACAAGCCACCAAGCCGUCUAGGAGGUGGCAACCUCCAAGAGUAACAAGCACCACCAGCUUGCAACACGAACACCUAGUGCCACUCGAUGCAAUCUCUCAAUGCAACGCACUAGAAUCGCUCACUCACACAAUCGGAUGAUCACUAUCAAGCAUAUGUGAGUUAGAGGCUUUGCUAGCACUCCCCAAGCAUGGACACUAAGUCCUAAGGGUGCUCAGCACCAGCCAAGACCGGCCACCACUUCUAUUUAUAGCCCCAAGGGCUAAACUAGCUAUUGCCCCUUCACUAAGCAAAACACGAGGGCACCGGACGCUCACAGGGAGCCACCGGACGCUCAACUCACAGCGUCCAGUGCUCAGGCGUCUGCCACGUGUCACUAGCUGUUUGAACUCGACCGUUACUGCCAACGGCUAACACAUGCGCGCGCCUCACACAGAAGCAUCGGAUGCGUCCGGUGCGUAGAGAGCUCUGCAAACUCGCAGGGUCACCGGACGUGAGCCACCGGACGCACCUUGAGCGUCUGGUGCUCACCGGACUCAUGCGCAGAGAGGGUCGCCAAACCGCCCACACACCGGACGUUGAGCACCGGACUCACUCCGGUGCGUCCGGUGCACUCUGCACACCUGCGCCACAGACUGACACCACACCGGACGCUCUGGACCAACGUCCGGUGUUGCCAACACCAGCGUGUGAUGAGUGUUUCUCAGCAAGAAACACUACCGCGACUUCUCCAAAAUUUUCACCGGCGCAAUAGAAAAUAUACACUUAAAUUUCUCAAAAGCGCCGAAUCCCGCCUCGCAAGCUCGGUGGGUGUUGACGGUCCUUAAUGCUCACAUUUAACCAUCAACUAAUCAUGGAAAAGGAUCUAAAUGGAACCUACACCUAGACUUAGGGUUUUAUCUGACAGAAUUCCACGAGUUUUGGUGUUUGUCUAUUUCUGCAGGGGGUUAUCAGGAGAUAAGGAAGAAAGGCCCACAUGUCGGGUUUACAUAGAGAUAUUAACGUGCCGCGCAAUUUUCUAUCAUCUAGAAGACUCCAGAAGCCACGAGAACAAAGCAGAAGACGAGAGGCCUCAGGGACAGGGCGCCCGCCCUAGUCCUGAGGGCGGCCGCCCUCAGCCAGAGUCCAAUCAGGACUCUCUUUCGGGAUAUUGCUCCACCGACCUAAAGGAUCCAGGAAAACCACAUGAUCAAUGUCGGUUUGAUCCGACGGCCCAGAUUCACUUGAAGGGACUAUAAAACCAGACCCCCUGGCCUCUGGAGAUCAUACCUCUUCUACAGAAUCAAAGCUAGGGUUUCAAUUCUUCAUCCAAGUAGAGAGGAUCCCUCUAGUUCUUCUAGUUUUACCUCUAGUUCAUCUAGAUCUAGUUCUAGUUCAUCUAGUUCUAGUUCUAGUUCCUCUAGUUCUAGUUCUAGUUAGUUCUAGUUGUAAUCUAGUUAGUUCCACUUGAGUAGAUCUCUAUAAAUGCUCUCAUGCUACCUUUAUUUGCUUUAGUAUAUGUCUAGGUUUGGAGUAGUUUCAUUUAUCUCUUAAUUAAGCAUGGUGCUUAGUUUAGGAAUGAUGAUCUUACUUCCAAGGGAGUUUAAAUUAAGUAUGAUGCUUAGAUUAAAAUGCCCUCCUAAAUCAAAUUAGACAUGGUGUCUAGGUUGAUCUUUGAGCCGAUAGUAUGCUAUAGUAGAUAUUGGAUAUUUUGUUGGACUAACCCCUGCAGGAAAACUUUCAAUAUCGACCUGGGAAGUCCUGAGAUAAACUCUCAUUGGAGACAAAGAGAGACACACAUAAAGUUUAACAAUUUACACAAGGAAGGCAUAGCUCACAAGAGAUGAUCCAUGGAGGGUGCUACAAACACGAUGCACAACCACUAAGAAAGGAAAGCUUCCAUAAGGUGAUACUGUACCAUCACUCUUCAAGUAAGGUAACAUCUUAAGGUACUUGACUAUCACUUCUAUAAGCUUCUCCUUAUUUCUGGCAUUCACAUGAGUAAAAGAGACAAACAUGUAAGAUUUACAACUCUAGAUUAACCAACCCAAUCGAUUCAAUAUGUUUAGUCCUUUCAUCUUUGUGAUCCCGCACUCCCCAUCAUAUGAACUAAAAUGUUGCACACUCAAUCUUUGGAAGAUAUAUAUAUAUAAAACAUAAGUAUAGAUAGAUUAUCUUUCCAUUAGGUUGAGUGAUCUGAUCUGACAAAUAUUUUAAAUGCUACACUCAUGAUCUUAUUAUCCAUCAACUUUGUCUUGCUCACUAUGCUUAAGGUUAGAGAAGAGCAAAUACACUUUUGGUUCUGUUGGUGUUUUCCACCAACAGGGCCCAUGCACUUGAUCUCUGCCUUGUCUCUAUGAGCAGGUACACUUCGAGCAAAAUAUAAAGGACUUUUAUAACUCCCAGACUCCACCAAGUGAAGAACCUAGAUCUACGAGCACAAACACACUGGAGAGACUGGACACUCAGGCAAUCACUGCCCUGAGAUGCUUGAGGACAUAACUACUGGAGUAACCCGUGGAAGUAAUUACUGACCUUCUGCCGGUCAAGAGAGGCGAUCCAGGACGCACCGUCAUCCCGAUCUCCAUCGGCAUGGUGGACUUCCCAGAAGUACUCUGUGACUUUGGCUCCAGUGUCAACAUUAUGCCCAGGGGAAUAUUGAAGAACCUCUAUGUCCGAGUUGGUACCUUAUACGCUCCAGCAGACUUCGUGGUGAUAGAGACUGAUACUGAUGAGAGGGCACCCAUCAUCCUAGGGAGGCCAUUCCUGAACACCUCGGGAGCUGUCAUCUACGCUAGUGCUGUCAAGAUCAGUUUCUACAUCAAGGGAAGGACGGAGACGUUUUCCUUCAAGAACAAGACUACACAAAUCUCAGAGCAAUCCUGACAUGAAACAAGGAAGAGGACCAACAGGAGGAACAGGAACAAGCAAAUGUGGACCAAGUCAGCAAAGAUGGUCACUGCAGUUCAAGGAGGUCAAGAUCGUCGACUUAAGUCACCGUUCCUAACCAAAAAGGAUGACCCAAGUAUGCCAAGCAUCCAGUGCUCCAUUGAUGGAUACAAUUUCCAGAAGAUGCUUUGCGACACUGGGUCAGGUGUCAACAUAAUGGCUGCCAGUCACCUAUCAGCUCCUAUUCGGAACCAUGCCCCUAAAACCGACAUACAUUCAGCUCCAGAUGAUUUUAAGGUUAUUGACAUGGGAGAAGACAAGUACGAUCCACCCAUCAUCCUUGGAAGACCAUUCCUCAGCACUGUUAAAGCAAUCAUCUACAUUGGAACCGGAGAAGUCCACAUGCACUUCCCCUCUGAGAAGGUACGCUGCUAUUUUACUGACCUUAACUAUAUAGUUAAAGACUCUAAGCAGGUCAGGACAAGAAGACGAGGACGCGACCGCAACCAGAGGAGACAAAUCAUCAAGGACGGAUGGGUAGACUAUGAAGGAGAAGUUGUAAUGUCUGACGACAUACAACUUGAACAGAACUGUCCUGAGGAGACCGUAGCACCGAGUCAAGUGUGGAGAGAGAAGAUAGUUAUACAUGAAGAGGAGACGCCGCCGGAACCACCGACUACGCCAUCCAGCGAAUCCCAGGACAACUGAGAAAAUAGAGAAUCCCGUUCGGAGGACUUAAAAACACCGAACGCCUUGCCAAGAGGUAAACUUGGUAGUUAUCCUUUUUUCCCUUUCAAUUAUUUAAAAUAGUUUGCUUAGUUAAUCAGGUUCAUAUCAUCUUGAAAAGAAAAUAAAAAUGUUAAAAAUAGUAAGCCCCAUGUGAGUAUGCUCAUGGCAUAAAACCCAUAAGUACAUUCACUGUGGUGGCAUAAAAAAUGAAAUAAAUAUAUUCCUGUCCUAUAAAAAUAAAAUUAUAAAAAUAAAAUUAUGAUCCUACUAAUGAGUAACAUUUAUUGAGGAGGCUCAACAUGAUAAAGGCUAGAUAUUUAUGCUAACACUUAACCAGUUCCACAAAGCUUUGUUGUCUAUUUGAGCUCCACAGAAUUCAAGGAUCAAAGAAGACUAGCAGACGGAGGACAUCCUAAUCGCUAUCAGAGUGCUGCCGACAUUCAAAUACACCUCCGCCACCUGCUAGCUACAUCAAAAGGAAUUACGUCAAAAUCCAGCUUGGGGGAGAGCACCCCCAUUUAUCCAGCUAAGUGUUCUACUCAUGUUUAUAUUUUACUCAAAUAAUAAUGCAUAAUCAUAAAAACCCAAAUAAAGAUUUUGUGCUUAUAUAUAUCUUUGCUUAGUUUGCUAAAUAAAUAAAUAAAUAAAGUUUGCUAUGAACCCUCAUGAUAAGCUCUUACAUGGAAAUGAUGAAUAGUUGCUCUGUCAUGACUAGUUCUCAAAAUUGAAAUCUCUCUCAAGUUUAGGCCUAACUGUUAUGAAUUAAGAUUUGCUCUAAACCUGAACUUGUGGGGAGAGUACUUGAUCUAAAGUCUAAGUUGUUAACGGAUAUGAUAUGGGAAGGUUGAGCUGCUUUUUAUCUGUUCCUAGAGAUGCUAGAAUUUUGGAGAAUUUUAUCUUUGAAAAUCUUUAAAAUGUUGCAUGAUGAGUUCCUUUAUGAUGAGAGUUUAAAUUCCUACCACAGCCAUAUAUACAUGCUUGCUAGACUUUGAGCCACACAUCUACUUUUUACUGCUUAUGAGCAUUGAGUGUGGUCAAGCUGUGUAGACCCUUAGGAGCUUGUCAUGUGGUUAAAUCAAGAUUCACUUGCACGUUCACUCAUACAUGCUGCUUCUACUCUGGAAGUACGCAUCCACAUAUAUCCACCCAUUUCCAUCUCCAGAAUCACCUAAAAAUAUUCUACUCCUAAUCCGGGAGAGAAUAACCAAAAACAUUUCUGUUUUUCCCCUGUGAAAUAAAUACUCAAGUUAUCUUGUUACUACCACUUGCUAUAUUAUUUCAAGAGAUGAGUGCUCUAAAAAAAGAGAGAGAAAAAAAAAGAGAUACGAGGAAAUAAAAAGGGGCAAGUGCCCGGAACCUCGAAAGAAAAGAAAAGAAAAAGUGAGACGAGAGGUAAAAAUGGACAAGUGUCCGACAGUAGAAUUAGAGGUACAAGAUACCCACCUGAGAGAAAAAGAAAAAGAAAAUAUAGAGCAUCUCAUUCUCCUCAAAAAGUUUCAAAAGAGCAAGAAAGGUAUGUAUCCCUUCAAAAGAGCACAAGUAGAAUUAGACUUUCACCAUUGUUAUCACUAUCAUUACCAUACACCAUUCAUUCGCCACACAUGCACAUCUUGAUUUGACUUAUUGACUUGUUCUUUUGGAUCCAUGGUUUGACUAUGCAAUAAAUGUCUUGUAAGUAUGUAUUAGCUGUCUCCCACCUAUGAGCUCCAGAUAUCAAAACCUUAUUAGAGUAGGGUGAGAGAGAAGGCAAUGUCAUUAUGCCUUAUACCAAAAAUACCACAUACUUUGAGAGAAGGCAUACACCACUACUGCCUUGGUAAGGAUCCAGAAAUACCACAAAAGAGAGAAUAGAGAGAGUCAUACAAGGAAUCUCUGAGUUUUAUUUGAAAAUCUGCAAAAACUCCAGAGCUAUAGCUGAUCAAGAAUAAGAGACAUGGUGCUUGACUAGAUUGUUCUAUCUUUUAACUACUCAAGACAGAAGUGACGGUUACAAGUCCCAUGGUGAAAGGUAAAUGAGUAAGUUUUAAGUCUUAACAGUUUACUCUAACCUAGAGAUGAGAUCUUGUUUGAAUGCAUGUAUUCUUUAAGGCAUGAAACCACUGCAGAAACUUUUGAGUUUAUCUUUGCUCAGGGACGAGCAAAGGUAAAGCUUGGGGGAGCUUGUUGACGGUCCUUAAUGCUCACAUUUAACCAUCAACUAAUCAUGGAAAAGGAUCUAAAUGGAACCAACACCUAGACUUAGGGUUUUAUCUGACAGAAUUCCACGAGUUUUGGUGUUUGUCUAUUUCUGCAGGGGGUUAUCAGGAAAUAAGGAAGAAAGGCCCACACGUCGGGUUUAUAUAGAGAUAUUAACGUGCCGCGCAAUUUUCUAUCAUCUAGAAGACUCCAGAAGCCACGGGAACAAAGCGGAAGACGAGAGGCCUCAGGGACAGGGCGCCCGCCCUAGUCCUGAGGGCGCCCGCCCUCAGCCAGAGUCCAAUCAGGACUCUCUUUCGGGAUAUUGCUCCACCGACCUAAAGGAUCAAGGAAAACCACACGAUCAAUGUCGGUUUGAUCCGACGGCCCAGAUUCACUUGAAGGGACUAUAAAACCAGACCCCCCUAGCCCCUGGAGAUCAUACCUCUUCUACAGAAUCAAAGCUAGGGUUUCAAUUCUUCAUCCAAGUAGAGAGGAUCCCUCUAGUUCUUCUAGUUCUACCUCUACUUCAUCUAGAUCUAGUUCUAGUUCAUCUAGUUCUAGUUCUAGUUCCUCUAGUUCUAGUUCUAGUUAGUUCUAGUUGUAAUCUAGAAAAUAGGGAGAGAGAAGAGGAGAGCGGAGGAGGAGCCGGAUCUGUCGGAUCUUCCUCAACAUUGUACUUUUGCAGCAUCUGGUUCGUUCAUCAUCGUUCUCCAGGUUCUUCAACUCAUAACUCCUGAGUUCUCUAAUUACUUUUAUUUACAUUCAAGUUAUUUAUUGGAUUCCCGCUUGCAUCAAGUGCUCUAAUCUUUGAAACAUUAGAGUAGUAAUUAAUAGAUUAGACGUGGUGUUUAGUCUUGCAAUUACCUGGAAUUGCACCCAAUCCUGCGGAUUGUUGUGGUAGCCUUAGGGUAGUGACAGCCCUAACGGUCGACGUAUUCCACCACGUUCGGAUCGGUGUUUGUAGGACCGUAGUCAGACCUUCCUAGCCCCCUUCUCAUCUCUUUCUGUGGUUAGUGCUCUGAUGUCCCGAUAUAGAUAAUCUUGAAGUAAUUCUUGAUUCUUAGAUAAACUAGAGAACUCUCAGGAAACUUCCUCUCUUCCCACCAAAAAUAAUUAUAUAGUUAUCCUUGGGCGAUCUUGGAUCUUAAUUAGUACACUCACGUUCUCUGUGGAAAAUCGAUACUCUGGAAUACUCCCGGGUGAAAGCUACAUCGGUAUCCGUGCGCUUGCGGAUUUUUCUGUUUGCGUUUAAAAUACCCAACAGUGGGAGGGAGAGAGGAACCCACACCCCUCUCAACCCUAGGAACUCCACCUCCUUUGCAAAGUGUGCCAACACCACCAAGUGUACACCACCAUGUGCAAGUGUGUUAGCAUUUUCAUAAACAUUUUCCCAAAGGAGUUAGCCUCUCAACUUGCCACGCCACUCGAUCCUAACACGUAUGCAAAGUUAGAUCACUCAAGUGGUACUAGAUGACCGAUAUGCAAACAAGUUUGCCCCUCUUGAUAGUACGGCCAUCUAUCCUAAAUCCGGUCAUAAACUUGUCUACACACCUAUGACCGGUGAAAUGGAAAAGCCCUAGGUUAUACCUUUGCCUUGCGCUUUCCAUUCCAUCUCCUCCAAUAUUGAUGCAACACAUACACCAACCAAUCACCAAAUAAUAUGAUCCACUUCAUAUCAUCACGUGACCGUAUUGGUUCAUCGAUCUUGACCUCACUUGCUCUUCACCAUUGCCUCGGUCCAUCGGCACCAAGUCUUGCUCAAGCUUCACCGUCACACGCGGUCCCUCGCUUC
rnacentral:lncRNA from 1 species